rnacentral:rRNA from 2 species
AGAGUUUGAUCCUGGCUCAGGAUGAACGCUGGCGGCGUGCCUAAUACAUGCAAGUCGAACGCUUUGUGGUUCAACUGAUUUGAAGAGCUUGCUCAGAUAUGACGAUGGACAUUGCAAAGAGUGGCGAACGGGUGAGUAACACGUGGGAAACCUACCUCUUAGCAGGGGAUAACAUUUGGAAACAGAUGCUAAUACCGUAUAACAAUAGCAACCGCAUGGUUGCUACUUAAAAGAUGGUUCUGCUAUCACUAAGAGAUGGUCCCGCGGUGCAUUAGUUAGUUGGUGAGGUAAUGGCUCACCAAGACGAUGAUGCAUAGCCGAGUUGAGAGACUGAUCGGCCACAAUGGGACUGAGACACGGCCCAUACUCCUACGGGAGGCAGCAGUAGGGAAUCUUCCACAAUGGGCGAAAGCCUGAUGGAGCAACGCCGCGUGUGUGAUGAAGGGUUUCGGCUCGUAAAACACUGUUGUAAGAGAAGAAUGACAUUGAGAGUAACUGUUCAAUGUGUGACGGUAUCUUACCAGAAAGGAACGGCUAAAUACGUGCCAGCAGCCGCGGUAAUACGUAUGUUCCAAGCGUUAUCCGGAUUUAUUGGGCGUAAAGCGAGCGCAGACGGUUAUUUAAGUCUGAAGUGAAAGCCCUCAGCUCAACUGAGGAAUUGCUUUGGAAACUGGAUGACUUGAGUGCAGUAGAGGAAAGUGGAACUCCAUGUGUAGCGGUGAAAUGCGUAGAUAUAUGGAAGAACACCAGUGGCGAAGGCGGCUUUCUGGACUGUAACUGACGUUGAGGCUCGAAAGUGUGGGUAGCAAACAGGAUUAGAUACCCUGGUAGUCCACACCGUAAACGAUGAGUGCUAGGUGUUUGAGGGUUUCCGCCCUUAAGUGCCGCAGCUAACGCAUUAAGCACUCCGCCUGGGGAGUACGACCGCAAGGUUGAAACUCAAAGGAAUUGACG